rnacentral:rRNA from 1 species
GACGAACGCUGGCGGCGUGCCUAACACAUGCAAGUCGAGCGGGGAUGGUGCUUUCGGGCGCUAUUCUAGCGGCGGACGGGUGAGUAACGCGUGAGCAAUCUGUCCUCAAGAGGGGGAUAACACACUGAAAGGUGUGCUAAUACCGCAUAAGACCACAGGAUCACAUGGUCUAGGGGUCAAAGGGGAAACUCGCUGGAGGGUGAGCUCGCGUCUGAUUAGCUAGUUGGUGAGGUAACGGCCCACCAAGGCGACGAUCAGUAGCCGACCUGAGAGGGUGAUCGGCCACACUGGAACUGAGAGACGGUCCAGACUCCUACGGGAGGCAGCAGUGGGGAAUAUUGGGCAAUGGGGGAAACCCUGACCCAGCAACGCCGCGUGAGGGAAGAAGGCCUUCGGGUCGUAAACCUCUGUCCUAUGUGAAGAGAAGAAGACGGUAGCAUAGGAGGAAGCCCCGGCUAACUACGUGCCAGCAGCCGCAGUA